GAGGGUACAGCUCAAAUGGUAGAGCGCUUGCUUAGCAUGCACAAGGUCCUAGGUUCAAUCCCCAGUGCCUCCU
rnacentral:tRNA from 1 species